rnacentral:rRNA from 1 species
AUUGAACGCUGGCGGCAGGCCUAACACAUGCAAGUCGAGCGGAGCGGCGGACGGGUGAGUAAUGCCUAGGAAUCUGCCUGGUAGUGGGGGAUCACGUCCGGAAACGGGCGCUAAUACCGCAUACUAUCAGAUGAGCCUAGGUCGGAUUAGCUAGUUGGUGGGGUAAAGGCCUACCAGUGCGGCGCUCCGUGACUGUGCUGAGAGGAUGAUCAGUCAGCGUGGAACUGAGACACGUUCCAGUCUCCUUCGGGUUGCAGUACGGAGUAAUGUUGGACCAGGGGCGAGGGCCUGACCCAGCCAGGACGCGUGUGUGAAGCAGGUCUUCCGGUUGUAACGCACUUUUAGUUGGUGUGCGUUACCAACAUAAUAAGCACCCGCUAACUUCUUGCCAGCAGCCGCGGUAAUAC